rnacentral:rRNA from 1 species
AUUGAACGCUGGCGGCAGGCCUAACACAUGCAAGUCGAGCGAGCGGCGGACGGGUGAGUAAUGUGUGGGAAACUGCCUGUUGGAGGGGGAUAACUACUGGAAACGGUAGCUAAUACCGCAUACCCUCAGAUGUGCGCAGAUGGGAUGAGCUAGUAGGUGGGGUAACGGCUCACCUAGGCUACGAUCCCUAGCUGGUCUGAGAGGAUGACCAGCCACACUGGAACAUGGACACAGUGCAGAGUCCUACGGGAGGCAGCAGUGGGGAAUAUUGCACAAUGGGCGCAAGCCUGAUGCAGCCAUGCCGCGUGUGUGAAGAAGGCCUUCGGGUUGUAAAGCACUUUCAGCGGGGAGGCGUUACCCGCAGAAGAAGCACCGGCUAACUCCGUGCCAGCAGCCGCGGUAAUAC